rnacentral:rRNA from 1 species
AUUGAACGUCGGCGGCAUGCCUUACACAUGCAAGUCGAACGGCAGCACGGGAGCAAUCCUGGUGGCGAGUGGCGAACGGGUGAGUAAAGUAUCGGAACGUGCCCAGUCGUGGGGGAUAACGUAGCGAAAGUUACGCUAAUACCGCAUACGAUCUAUGGAUGAAAGCGGGGGAUCGCAGGACCUCGCGCGAUUGGAGCGGCCGAUAUCAGAUUAGGUAGGUGGUGGGGUAAAGGCUCACCAAGCCGACGAUCUGUAGCUGGUCUGAGAGGACGACCAGCCACACUGGGACUGAGACACGGCCCAGACUCCUACGGGAGGCAGCAGUGGGGAAUUUUGGACAAUGGGCGAAAGCCUGAUCCAGCCAUGCCGCGUGCAGGAUGAAGGCCUUCGGGUUGUAAACUGCUUUUGUACGGAACGAAAAGGUUUGGCCUAAUAAGCUGAGCUCAUGACGGUACCGUAAGAAUAAGCACCGGCUAACUACGUGCCAGCCGCCGCAGUAA